rnacentral:rRNA from 1 species
CCUACGGGGGGCAGCAGUGAGGAAUAUUGGUCAAUGGACGAGAGUCUGAACCAGCCAAGUAGCGUGAAGGAUGACUGCCCUAUGGGUUGUAAACUUCUUUUAUAUGGGAAUAAAAUGUUCCACGUGUGGGAUUUUGUAUGUACCAUAUGAAUAAGGAUCGGCUAACUCCGUGCCAGCAGCCGCGGUAAUACGGAGGAUCCGAGCGUUAUCCGGAUUUAUUGGGUUUAAAGGGGGCGUAGGUGGAUUGGUAAGUCAGUUGUGAAAGUUUGCGGCUCAACCGUAAAAUUGCAGUUGAAACUGGCAGUCUUGAGUACAGUAGAGGUAGGCGGAAUUCGUGGUGUAGCGGUGAAAUGCUUAGAUAUCACGAAGAACUACGAUUGCGAAGGCAGCUUACUGGACUGCAACUGACACUGAGGCUCGAAAGUGUGGGUAUCGAACAGGAUUAGAUACCCGUGUAGUC